GACAUGUUUUGUUAAUCCACUUUAAAUGCGGUCUACCUGCAAUGAAGCAUAAAUCAAAAGCUUUGAAAAUGAAGACUGGGAUAAUCCUUUAACUGGCAAUGAAGAUGAAUGCAUUUAUGCUAUACUUGGAGAGGGCUUUGCGAAAAUUCUUCUCCUAAGUGACAACUAUCCAAUCAUACCGGCUUCUUUGCACCCUGUACUUUUAUCUAAACUCAUUUACUUGUACUUCAGUGAUGUAUCAGAAGAUAUGCACAGGUUGAAGCAAUGCUUAUCUAUUUUCUUUGAGCACUACCCAUGUCUCUCAACAAAACACAAGGCAAGCAUAAUUUCAUAUUUUAGGAAAUGGUACAUGGAAUUUCGUUCAAAGUUUGGGGAUUGUGUUAUAGUUCAAGCUCUUGCUACACCAUGGUCCCUGCUGUCUGCUAACCUCAUAUUCAUGAAGAUUUUUUAUAUCAUAUUUAUACAGAACCAAUUUAACAACCAUAUUUCUAACUGAAAUUAUUUGAAAUUAUUCAAGAAUUUCAAACUCAUAUGUUAGUAGUUACUUUUGGGGAAAAGAAAAUCAGAUUUACUUGCAUACUAUUCUGUUUUAGUUAGAGAUCUACAUACUAUUCUGUAACUAAACUAUGCAUAAUUAAUGAACCAUUCAAUUUACUACAGGAUUCCUUUUAUCAUAACUUGACUGAGGAGGAAUUUAAAAGAGUACAGACUACAACUUUGAUCAUCCUGCUGGCAGUGACUUAUAUAGGAGCUGCAAUGGAAAUAGAAAUUCCUCUACGUCGAAAGUGAUCACAUAAAUUAAGAUGGCAUCGUUGAAACAGAUGAAGAAGACCUUAGUAAUGAAUUUUGAUUUGUAUUUUUUUUUCAUUUU